GAUCCCGCUCCACUUCCUGCGGCGGAUUCUGCGCCGCUCCAUCACUCCCUGACAGGCCGCAGUAGCGGUCACAGCACUGCUCCACUUCCUACGAUGGAUCCCGUGCAGCUCCACUACUCCCUGGCAGGCCAUAAUAACGGCCACAAUCCUGCUCCACUUCCUGCGAUGGAUACCGCGCGAUUCUUCCAUCCGCUGGCAAGUCGCGACAACGGACGCCGCUCC
rnacentral:lncRNA from 1 species